rnacentral:rRNA from 1 species
UUAGAGGCAAACGGGUGGACCCGCAAUACGUCGACCCGGGGGAUUCAACCAGGCCGUGCGUUCGGGACGCGUGGGGGUUAUGCGGAGCUGUAAAGCCCGUGCCUCUGCGCAGGUCUCCGGGCGGACUGGUGCACUUUCCUCGGGUUGAUUGCCACGACCGGCUCUCCGUGCGGCCACAAGCCUUUGCUGGGAAGGUGACCGUCGGCCCCGCGCCGGCGGUGUUACAGCCCAGCUAGUUCGUUGCGCUCGUCGGAGGGCCGAGGAAGUGUUGCCGUUUCUCAGCCACCCUCCGGCCAUCCUUGCUCGUCACGACUGGGGCGAACUGCUUCGUCAGUGCUCUCCCGACCGCGAGCGUAGGAAGGGCUGGUACGGUGCGAGAAUAGCUUCGGGCCAGUGGCGAAUCGGUCGGUCCUCCACCCGACCCGUCUUGA